GGGUGUGAGGACAAUAUCGGGCUGUGAGGUGGGUUCACCCUACUGAUUGCCAGGGUUGAUUCGACUGAUCUGGCUGGCUAGGAGGGUUCCUGCUUCCCCCCUCACCACGGCUCCAUGCAUGUCCCUCUUGAAACGGUGUGCUUGGUGGAGGAGGAAGACCUUCCCCGAGAGAGGAGGACAGAUCUUCCAUCAUGGGGCAUGGAGAGAGCUGUGCUCCCCUGCUGAAAUCUUCAAACAAUCUCUCCAGGGUGUAAACUAACAAACAAAUUUAUGUUAAUCAUAGUGGAGACUUGCGGGGGGCAGGAGGGGGUUCUGAUACUAAAGUGGGUUUUACCCUUUU
rnacentral:snRNA from 1 species